rnacentral:rRNA from 1 species
GUGAGCGCUGGCGGUAGGCCUAACACAUGCACGUCGAACGGCAGCACCGUAAGAGCUUGCUCUUACGGGUGGCGAGUGGCGGACGGGUGAGGAAUACAUCGGAAUCUACUUUUUCGUGGGGGAUAACGUAGGGAAACUUACGCUAAUACCGCAUACGACCUACGGGUGAAAGCAGGGGAUCUUCGGACCUUGCGCGAUUGAAUGAGCCGAUGUCGGAUUAGCUAGUUGGCGGGGUAAAGGCCCACCAAGGCGACGAUCCGUAGCUGGUCUGAGAGGAUGAUCAGCCACACUGGAACUGAGACACGGUCCAGACUCCUACGGGAGGCAGCAGUGGGGAAUAUUGGACAAUGGGCGCAAGCCUGAUCCAGCCAUACCGCGUGGGUGAAGAAGGCCUUCGGGUUGUAAAGCCCUUUUGUUGGGAAAGAAAAGCAGCAGGUUAAUACCCCGCUGUUCUGACGGUACCCAAAGAAUAAGCACCGGCUAACUUCGUG